rnacentral:rRNA from 1 species
UACAGAGGUGCCGAGCGUUAGGCGGAAUCACUGGGCUUAAAGCGUGUGUAGGCGGAUGCCUAAGUACCUUGUGAAAUCCCACGGCUUAACCGUGGAACUGCUCGGUAUACUGGGUGUCUUGAGCCACUUAGGGGUUACCGGAUCAAAUGGUGGAGCGGUGAAAUGCGUAGAUAUCAUUUGGAACGCCAAUGGUGAAAACAGGUAACUGGGAGUGUGCUGACGCUGAGACACGAAAAGCCCAGGGGAGCGAAACGGGG